rnacentral:rRNA from 1 species
AACGAACGCUGGCGGCAUGCCUAACACAUGCAAGUCGAACGAAACCUUCGGGUUUUGUGGCGCACGGGUGCGUAACGCGUGGGAAGUUGCCCUUAGGUUCGGAAUACCUCCCCGAAAGGGGUGUUAAUACAGGAUAAUCUCUUCGGACCAAAGAUUUAUCGCCUUUGGAUGGGCCCGCGUUGGUUUCGCUGGUUGGUAGUGUAAUAGCCUAGCAUGGCGAGGAUCCAUGGCUGGUCGGAGAGGAGGAUCAGCAAGACUGGGACUGAGACACGGCCCAGACUGCUACGGAAGGGAGCAGAGGAGAGUAUAGGACAAGGGGCGAAAGCCUGAUACAGCCACGCCGCGUGAGAGAUGAAGGCCUUAGUGUUGUAAAGCUCUUUUACCCGGGAUGAUAAUGACGGUACCGGGAGAAUAAGCUCCGGCUAACUCCGUG